GAGGUUGUAGCUCAGUGGUGGAGCACUUGCCUGACAUGUGCGAGGCCCUGGGUUCGAUCCCCAGCACCACA
rnacentral:tRNA from 1 species